GGUCCUCCUGCGCUCAGCUUCAUUUAAACUUUCCUCCGCGGCGCAGCGAGCCGCACCGACUCUCCCUCAGCAGCCCAGCCGCAGUCUGGUCGCUGACUUUCGGCCAUGGAUUCCGUCACCUGCCGGGUCCAGUACCUGGAGGACUCGGACCCGUUCGUCUGCACAAACUUUCCCGAACCGCGGAGACCUCCGACUGUCUCCCUGGAGGAGGACCAGCCGCUGAGCGAGCAGAUCUCCGGCAUCCACAAGCUGCUCGGGGCGCCGCUGAAGCUGGAGGACUGCGCCCUGCAGGUGUCUCCCAGCGGGACGUACCUGGACCUGGACUCGUCUCUGGCGGAGCAGCGGGAUGAGCUGGACACCUUCUACCAGGACCUGGCAAAGGGCAGGAAGCCGAUCCUGGUCCUGAGGAACCAGCUCUCCGUCCGCGUUCACCUCAUCCUGGAGAGGUUGUACAACUCCAAAGGCCCAGAGCUGAGGCGCUGUCUGUUCUCCCUCAAGCAGCUCUUCCAGGACGAUAAGGAUCUGGUCCCAGAGUUUGUAGCAUCUGAAGGCUUGGCGUGUUUCAUCAAGGUUGGAGCCGAAGCCGACCACAACUACCAGAACUACAUCCUGAGAGCUCUCAGCCAGAUCAUGCUGUUUGUGGACGGGAUGAACGGCGUGAUCCACCACCCAGAGACGCUGCAGUGGCUCUACACGCUGACAGGAAGUGUGUCUCACCUGCUGGUGAAAACGGCUCUGAAGCUCCUCAUUGUGUUUGUGGAGUAUGCCGAGUCCAACGGUCCUCUGCUGAUCGGCGCCGUGACAACGGUGGACUCAAAGAGAGGUGUGAAGCCUUGGACGAACCUCAUGGACGUUCUGGAGGAGAAGAACGGCGCCGACACAGAGCUGCUGGUCUUCACCAUGACGCUCAUCAACAAGAUUCUGGCAGCGCUGCCGGACCAGGACUCGUUCUACGACGUGACAGACUGCCUGGAGCGUCUGGGCAUGGAGGCCGUGGUCCGGAAACACCUGAGCAGCAAGCGGGCGGAGCCGGACCUCAAGGCCCAGUUCUCCACCUAUGAGGCGGCUCUGCGGCACGAGGACGGAGACGUGGAUGACUCCGCACCCCUCCUCCGAAAGGAGAGGAGAAAGAUGGCCGUCGGCGACCAGGAGGGCAGGAGGAGCCGGCGCUCCAGUCAGAACCUGCCGGACCUGCUGUCCCCCAACCCGUCCACGCCUGUCCUCUCCCCGUCCUCCACCAUAUCCUCGCCCACGCUGGACAGCACCGCUUCGUCGCCGCUGUCCUCUGAACCCGGAAGCUCCGCCUCCAGCCCCUCCGGGUCCCCUCGGGGCUCGCCGCUGCCCCCCCCCGCUGGACCCGGCGGCGAUGGGUCCACCGAGCUGGGGACCAUGACGCCGUCCAGCCCGAGUCGCUCUUUUCUCAGCCACCACAUGUCAGCUCUGGGUCUGGGCAGGAAGUCCCGCCUCUUCUCCAAAACCAGCUCCAUCUCUGAGGAGCCUCCGCCCGGCUGCAGCUCAUCUCCAUCGGAUCCGUCCCAGCAGAACUCAGAUCAGCUGGUCAGACCAGAGUCCAAACCUCGUCAAAACUCGCUGGAGGCUGAGCAGGAAGUCUUCUGCCCAGAGGACUUUGAUGUGAAUCUGAACAAGCCAGUUCUGAAGAAGUUCCAAGGUACCUUCCUGCGCAGCCUGGCAGCCACUAACUGGGACAAGAAGAGGAGAAGUAAACUCCUGAGCAUUCCCCAGCUGUGUGAUGAUGUCAUAAGUCCAUGCCCUGAGCCCAGCGCCGGCGUGGCGCCUGAGCGACCCGCCUCGACAUCCAGCAGCUUGGAGACAAACGGACCCUCAGACUCGCAGAAUGAUCCAGCGGUUCCUGUGCAGCGGCAGUGCAGCACCCUGUCUGAUGUCACCAUGUUGGUUCUGGACAUGAUGUAUUCCAACUCCUCUGCCGCAGUGCCCUCGAGCCCGACUGAUGCUGCGUCUGGCUCCGUUAAGGAAGAAGAAGGCAGCUUCGCGCCUGGUGAGCAUGCGCAGGUUUCCGGGCUGCAGCAGAUCCAGGUUUUAGUCGGUCAAGAUCUUUGUGGCCGUGUUUCGGAGCGACUGUCCAACUUCAGCUCACAGUCGGUGGAGUCCGGCGCAGAGAGCAGCGCCCCCCAGAGGGCGGAGUUGGAAUGCCUGAAGGGCUCGGCGCAGACGGCCAGGGCCCGGCUGGCCGAGGAGCAGAAGAACCGUUUGGUCCGGCAGCAGAGCGGCGUGAGGGCGGAGCCUGCGGCGCGGUGCCCGGAGUCCAUGAACUCUCUGGGUCCGGCUGACGCCUGGGAUCAGCUGCAGCCCAGCGGCGCCGACCUGAAGAUCAAAGACCUGGACUUCACCGACCUGCUGGAGGACGAAGACAUCGACGUCCUGGACAUGGGCACCAACUCCUCCUCUUCCUCCCAUUUCUCAGGCGUCCCUCCUCCUCCGCCGCCUCCACCAGGAUGCGCCGCUCCCCUGCCACCUCCUCCGCCACCUCCUCCGCCUCCUCCUCCGCCCCCCCUCCUGGGUGCCCCUCCUCCCCCUCCAGGUGGCGUCCCCCCGGCUCCGCCCCCUCCGAGCGGCGGGCCUUCGGGCCUGACGAAGAAGAAGACGGUGAAGCUGUUCUGGAAGGAGCUGAAGCAGGCGGAGAGCCAGCAGAAAUGUCGCUUCGGCCGCGGGACGGUGUGGGCGUCGCUGGACAAGGUGGAGGUGGACACGGCGCGCCUGGAGACGCUGUUCGAGUCCAAGUCCAAGGAACUGCCGGUCGCCAAGAAGGGACCAGAACCCAAGAAGUCUCUGGUUCUGGACCCAAAGCGGAGCAACGCCAUCAACAUCGGCCUGACCGUCCUUCCUGCCGUCCACGUCAUCAAGAACGCCAUCCUGAGCUUUGAUGACUACGCCAUCAGCAAGGAGGGGGUGGAGAAGAUCCUGACGAUGAUCCCGACCGAGGAGGAGAAGCAAAAGAUCCAGGAGGCCCAGCUGGCGAACCCCGACCUGCCGCUAGGAACCGCAGAGCAGUUCCUGCUCACCCUGGCCUCCAUCAGCGCCCUGAACCCCCGCCUGCAGCUCUGGGCCUUCAAGCUCAACUAUGAGGUUCUGGAGAAGGAGAUCGCGGAGCCUCUUUUCGACCUGAAGCUGGGCAUGGAGCAGCUGGCGUCCAAUCAGACGUUCAGGAGGAUCCUCGCCACACUGCUCGCCAUCGGCAACUUCCUCAACAGCUCCAAUGCCAAAGGCUUUGAGCUGAGUUACCUGGAGAAGGUGGUGGAGGUGAAGGACACCGUCCACCGCCACUCACUGCUGCACCACACCUGCAGCCUGCUGGAGGACAACUACCCACAAUCCUCUGACGUCUACUCCGAGAUCCCCGCCAUCACCCGCUCCGCUAAGGUGGACUUUGACCUGCUGGCGGAGAAUCUGGUCCAGCUGGAGAAGCGCUGCAAGGCAUCAUGGGAGAACCUGAAGCUGGUGGCCAAGCAUGAGAGCAAGGCGGUGCUGAAGAACAAGAUGACGGAGUUCCUCAGGGACUGCACCCAGAGGGUCAAGAUCCUAAAGAUCGUCCACAGGAGGGUCAUCAACAGGUUCCACUCCUUCCUGCUGUUCCUGGGUCAGCCGUCCUUCUCUGUCCGAGACGUGAAGGUCACCAGCUUCUGCCGCAUCAUCAGCGAGUUCGCUCUGGAGUACCGCACCACCCGCGAGCGCGUCCUCACCAUCAGACGCAAACGCACCAUCAAGAGGGAGCGGAACAAGACCCGGGGCAUGCUGAUCACCGAGACGGAAAAGUUUUCUGGCGUUCCUGUUCAGGACAGCAUCUCGCCCGUCUCCAUGGCAACAGAUCCGGGCUCUGAUCAGGAGGAGGAGCAUGAAACCAUGACGAGCCUGCUGACCAGCAGCUGCAGCAGCCUGACCGUUCAUCCUGCAGGCCUGCGCCGCUCCAGAGCCGUCCGCAGUAACCGCUCGGCGAGUCCAUCCACUCUGACCGCUGCUAGGGACGACGGGACCGGCUCUCAGGAUGACGCCAACGAUGACAUCAUGGAUCGACUGGUGAAGUCCGUGACCCAGAACCCGUCAAACAGAACCGCCAGCCCAAAGUCCCGCAAACGGUCCCGACUCAACAGGAAGUCCAUGCGGAGGACCCUGAAGGGCGGAUUGGACCUGGAGGCGGUCCAGGCUCUGGGUCUGCUGCCCAGCAAGACGGGAGCCAGAGUCUGACCCUGCGCUGACCUCCUGACCUCCUGACUUUCUGCUGCUCCAGUGUUUAUCUCCUCAUCUGUUUGCAAAUGAACCUUCAGCGCAGCAACAGCAGCUCAGACUGCGGAUCAGAACCAGAACCAGAACUGAUCUGUUUGCUCUUCACACCAGACCUGGACUUACCUGCUGUCUCGUUGGUUCUGAUCCAGAAAGUCCUGCAGGUGGACGGCCAGAAGAACUCGGAUCAGAACAAACUGCUUGAGAUGAACCGCAGAACCACCUGCAGCUUCUAGAGGCUUCAGUUUGCUGUAAAUUAGCCGAAGUUCUGCUCAGGUUCUGGGCCUGCUGCUGGUUCUGGACCUCUCACCUCCACAGCAUUCUUGUUAAUCUGGUACCGAGCAGUCCGACUGCUCACCUACCACCAGGUGUGUUGGUGUGAUGUCACUGGGUUCUGGUGUGAUGUCACUGGGUUCUGGUGUGAUGUCCAGGUGUUCCUCAGCUGAUGACGACGUUUCAGCUGAGAACCUGAGCUGGGUUCCUCCAGUUAGAACUCGAGUGAACCUGUCGGUCCGGUUCUGGGUUUCGGUUCUUCUCGGAUCCUACUCAGUCUCUCCAAAACCGCUUCAGCAGCAGAACAGGAAGUGGGUCCAUCAGUACUUCCUGUUUGUUUGUUUGAACUUCCUUUGACUAAAGCUGAACAGCUCAGAACCCGUGGUUCUGUAAAGUUACACGGCCAAAAGCUUUCCAAAUUGAAUAUUUAGUUUAAAUAUUAAACUAACAUUAAGUGUUUAGCCAAAUAUUUAGCAUGUUAGCUACUUAGCUAGGUGCCUCAUAUUUAGCUUGCUAACUACAUAAUUUGCUUGGAAUUAAAUGUUUAGCUUUCCAAACUGAAUAUUUAGUUUAAACUGACGUUAUUAAACGACCAACAUGAUUUUCA